AUGGCCAUGAAAGCACAGCUCCUUCGGUUGCUUCCUCUGCUGCUCCUGCUUCUUCCUUCUCCCCUCCGCAAUUACCUCUCGAAUGAUGAAGGCGCUGGUGAUGGCGGAGCCGGGAAGGGCCGGCUCCAAGUCUACCACCCGAUAAUCUUGUUCCCUGGCAUAAGCUGCCCCAACCUGGACGCGCGGCUCACCGACGCCUACACGCCGUCGCUGCCCCGCUGUGGCACGUUCAAGGGGAAGGGGUGGUUCCCGCUAUGGAACAACACGCAGGACGUGCUCGACCAUGACUACCUGCCGUGCUUACAGGAGCAGAUGAGCCUCGUGUACGACCCCGUCCUCAACGACUUCCGGAACCAACCCGGUGUCGAGACGCGCGUGCCGGACUUCGGCUCCUCCUAUGGCUUCACCUCAAAGGAUGAACUGGGCAGCCUUAACAUGUUUUGCAUGUUAAAACUCCGUGAAGCACUCGAGAUAGUAGGUUAUCACGACAGAGAUACCCUUUUCGGAGCUCCUUAUGACUUACGCCACGCUCCACUUUCGCCCGGGCAGCCAUCUCAGGUGUACACCGACUACUUUGCCAGUGUCAAGGAUCUGGUGCAUCAUGCGAGCGAGAAGAAUGGGAACAAGCCCGUCAUCCUUGUCGGGCAUAGCUUCGGUGGCAAGGCAAUCCUUGACUUCGUCAAUUCGACUCCCCUUUCAUGGAGGAAAAAAUUCAUUAAACACAUUGUCCUAGCCGCGCCCACACCUCCUACUGGAUUUUUGGAGGUCCUCAGGAACCUCGCCUCGGGGCCGUCAGUCAUUCGUGUACCGACGGUGCCGUGGCUGGGUUUACGGCCAAUGUGGAGAACUUUUGCGAGCUCCCUUACAUCCUUCCCUUCCCAUAGGGUUUUUGGUCAUCAGCCACUUGUAGUCACCCAACAUAGGAACUACUCAUCGUAUGACUACGCAGAUUUUCUAACGGCUCUCGGUAUCAGCACUGACAUCAUAAAACAGAUGCUUCCCGUCAAUUUGAAGGUUGAUGCUCCAAUGGUGCCAACAACAUACCUCAGUGGCAUUGGUAUCCAAACGGUAGAACAGAUGGUAUACUGGGAUGGUAACUUUGAUGUGGAGCCGGAGUAUGUGUAUGGUGACGGUGACCUUGUCAUCAAUAUAGCUAGCUUGUUAGCAUUCGUGAAAGAAAUGAGUAGGCAACAACAGCUGAGUAACAUACACUUCAAGUUCGUCAAGAUUGUUAAUGUUACCCACUCUACUAUUGUCUUCCAGGAACGUCCGCUCAAGAUAGUUAUGGCUGAAAUUCUAGAAGCAAAUAGCAGAAGAGACAUCAUGUGA
rnacentral:rRNA from 1 species